AUGGUCACAGUUACAUCACUGGUUAAUGAUUUGCCAGACUGUGACUACGCUUUUGACUACUGGGGAAAAGGCACUAUGGUCACUGUCACCUCAGCCACGUCAAAGGGGCCAAUUGUGUUUCCUCUGAUGCCAUGUGGCUCUGGGACAGGAGACAUGGUCAGUCUUGGCUGUUUUGCCACCGGCUUCACACCCUCCUCACUGACGUUCACAUGGAACAAAAAUGGGACUGCCUUGACGGACUUCACUCAGUACCCUCCAGUACAGAAAGAUAAUUAUUAUAUGGGAGUCAGUCAAAUCCGAGUGAGUAGACAGGAUUGGGACAAAAGGGAGAUUUUCCAGUGUGCUGUGGCACAUGUUGCCGGAAAAGCACAGACUUCUCACAUCAUAAAGCCACUGGAUUUCUAUCAGCCGCCGAUUCUUAAAGUGUUGGCCUCCUCUAAUGAUGAAAAGGAGGCAUCCUUCUCCUGCUAUGCUAAAGAUUUUUCACCAAAAGAUUAUGACAUCAAAUGGCUGAAAAGUGGAGAGGAAAUCAACAACAAAAUAUACGAGAUCAAAACGCAAACUGCAACAAAGUUGGAGAAUGGAACUAAGCUGUACAGUGCAGCAAGUUUUCUCACAGUGCCAUCCCAUGAUUUGCCUUCUCACACCCAGUUUACAUGUGAGUUCAAGGGGAAAAAGGACAAGAUUGAUGUAUUCACUAAUUCAUCUGUGCUCUACAACAAUAAUGAAUCUCAAGGAUGUAAUGCACCAGAUGUGGAGAUAGAGAUCGAAGGCCCCAAAGUAGAGGAUUUGUUUUUACAUGGAAAUGGAACUAUAACAUGUCAAGUCAAGGAAAACAAGUUAGGUGUUGACAAGAUUUUUUGGGAGGACCAGUACGGAAACGAAAUGACUGGAGCCUUGCAGGGCCCCUUCAAUGGAAAACCAUUGAGCCUUCCACUUGACAUCUCAUAUGACGAAUGGAACAAUGGGGUAAAGCGCAACUGUGUUGUUGAACAUAAAAAUUUCUAUGAUCCCUUCAAGAAACUCUAUGAAAGGAAUACCGGAGGAGAGACUCAGCGUCCUUCAGUAUUUAUGCUGCCACCAGUAGAACACACUAGAACAGAAACAGUGACCCUGACUUGCUAUGUGAAAGACUUCUUCCCUCAUGAGGUUUUCGUGUCUUGGCUUGUUGAUGACGAGGCAGCCUCAGACUCAAAAUACAAGUUCAGUACCACAAACCCUGUAAAAAACAAUGGAUCCUAUUCUGCUUAUGGCCAGUUAUCACUCGGCCUUGAUGAGUGGAAAAACAAUAACAUGGUGUAUAGCUGUGUAGUUUACCACCAAUCUGUGGUUAACAAUAUUAAAGCCAUUGUCAGAUCCAUUGGGCAAAGAACAUCUGAAAACACCAACCUGGUCAACCUCAACAUGAACAUCCCUGAAACGUGCAAGGCCCAUUAUCCAGAGAUCCUGAUCGACUCAAACAGUGCCAUGGAGGUAGAAGAAGAUAACAUGGGAGGCACAGCCCUCACCUUCAUCCUUCUCUUCCUCAUCACUCUGCUGUUCACCAUUGGAACCACUGUUUUCAAGGUUAAAUGAAAGAAGAAAAAAAUU